GGUGGAGUUUACGGGAAAAAACUCAACAGUCCUGAUGGAGGGUUUCCUUCUGCUUAUGGGAAUGGAUAUGGGGCUCAUCUGGGUAUUGCUGACAAGGGUCCUUUUUAUGGUGCUGGCUCUGGUUCAUGGGGGCUUGAGAAUCCCCGCGCUGCCCGUCGCUGAGAUCAGGAUAUUUUCCAUUUGAAGUGGACGAAGUGCAUCUGCUAUUUUGUUGCUUUCCUGUUCCCUGGGACUGAAAGGUCUAGAAGUCUCAUGUUUAUCAAUAGGUGCAUGUGGCAUCAAUUAUCUAUUAAUAGAAUGUUCUUAGCAAAUCAGAAACUUUGCUCAAAUAGGAGUUGUAAUGUGCUGCUGUUCCACCCCCCCCCCCCAAAUGAAUGGUUACUGUGAAAUUUAAAGUAGGGUAUUUGACUCAAGUUCUGUUCCCUAGGAGAGUAGGAGAUAUUCCUUGGGCAUACUACCAUUUGGAUUUCUAUUGCCAUUGCCAUUGACCUUGACUUAUGUUACUUAAAUAGUGCAUAUUUUUUUAUAUUGUAGUGAGAAGAUCUUGUUAAAGUAGAGGCUAUGUAUUAUGGAGUUCGGAUUA